rnacentral:rRNA from 1 species
AGUGAACGCUGGCGGUAGGCCUAACACAUGCAAGUCGAACGGCAGCACAGUAAGAGCUUGCUCUUACGGGUGGCGAGUGGCGGACGGGUGAGGAAUACAUCGGAAUCUACUUUUUCGUGGGGAUAACGUAGGGAAACUUACGCUAAUACCGCAUACGACCUACGGGUGAAAGCAGGGGAUCUUCGGACCUUGCGCGAUUGAAUGAGCCGAUGUCGGAUUAGCUAGUUGGCGGGGUAAAGGCCCACCAAGGCGACGAUCCGUAGCUGGUCUGAGAGGAUGAUCCGCCACACUGGAACUGAGACACGGUCCAGACUCCUACGGGAGGCAGCAGUGGGGAAUAUUGGACAAUGGGCGCAAGCCUGAUCCAGCCAUACCGCGUGGGUGAAGAAGGCCUUCGGGUUGUAAAGCCCUUUUGUUGGGAAAGAAAAGCAGCAGGUUAAUACCCCGCUGUUCUGACGGUACCCAAAGAAUAAGCACCGGCUAACUUCGUG